CGUGAGUGAUGAAGGCUUUCGGGUCGUAAAGCUCUGUCAAGUGGGAAGAAACCAUAUGGUGUUAAUAUCGCCUUAUGUUGACGGUACCACUGAAGGAAGCACCGGCUAACUCCGUGCCAGCAGCCGCGGUAAUACGGGGGGUGCGAGCGUUAUUCGGAAUUACUGGGCGUAAAGAGCGCGUAGGCGGUCUUUUAAGUCAGGUGUGAAAGCCCGGGGCUCAACCCCGGAAGUGCACUUGAAACUAUGAGACUUGAGUAUGGGAGAGGGAAGUGGAAUUCCUGGUGUAGCGGUGAAAUGCGUAGAUAUCAGGAGGAACAUCGGUGGCGAAGGCGACUUCCUGGACCAAUACUGACGCUGAGGCGCGAAGGCGUGGGGAGCAAACAGGAUUAGAUACCCUGGUAGUCCACGCAGUAAACGGUGAACACUAGGUGUAGCGGGUAUUGACCCCUGCUGUGCCGCAGCAAACGCAUUAA
rnacentral:rRNA from 1 species